UACUGGCCUUUGAAACGGAAUAGGAAACAGAAAACGUGACCAGAUCUUGUCUGUAUUCUGUACUUGAAGACCCUAUUCAGGUUUAUGAUGUUUUCCCACAUUUCUUGCCAUCCAAAGGAAUCACUUCCCACUGAAUUUGCUACUCUCUCUUCAGUAGGACAUCCAUAUGCUACAGAAGACCUACCUGGUUUCGGGUUUAUGCACUUAAAAUCCAAGGGGAAAAAGGACGUAGGGAUGUUCAGCCUGUGUCCAGCCUGAAGCAGGACCACUUUGUAGAUGCCCCAGGGACCACUACAAAAGCCUGUAACUGGAGCUCAGUGGGACCUCCCGCCUCUUUGAUGAGGGCUGAAACACAAACUGUCCAUGUAGAGAAGGAAGGCAAUGGAGCGGAAGAAAGGACACAAUUUUAUGUCACUCUUCCAUUGUUUUCACUUUUCCUUUUUCUAAGUCAGGUGUCAGUAGCUAGCUGAUGUUUUAUUUUAA